rnacentral:rRNA from 1 species
AGACGUCUACAUUAGAUACCCCGGUAGUCCAGGGUGUAAACGCUGCAGACUUGGUGUUGGGAACCCUUCGGGGGUGUCCAGUGCCGGAGAGAAGUUGUUAAGUCUGCUACUUGGGGAGUACGUCCGCAAGGAUGAAACUUAAAGGAAUUGGCGGGGGAGCACCGCAACGGGAGGAGCGUGCGGUUUAAUUGGAUUCAACACCGGAAAACUCACCAGUGAAGACUGUUACAUGAAAGCCAGGCUGAUGACCUUGCUAGAUUUUCAG